CUUGGAUGUUUGACAUCCCUCUGAAGGAUUUCGGUCCUCACCUCUUUAUAUAUAUAUAUAUUCCUUCUCUUUGAAC